AGCGAACGCUGGCGGCAGGCCUAACACAUGCAAGUCGAACGGACCCUUCGGGGUUAGUGGCGGACGGGUGAGUAACACGUGGGAACGUGCCUUUAGGUUCGGAAUAGCUCCUGGAAACGGGUGGUAAUGCCGAAUGUGCCCUUGGGGGAAAGAUUUAUCGCCUUUAGAGCGGCCCGCGUCUGAUUAGCUAGUUGGUGAGGUAACGGCUCACCAAGGCGACGAUCAGUAGCUGGUCUGAGAGGAUGACCAGCCACACUGGGACUGAGACACGGCCCAGACUCCUACGGGAGGCAGCAGUGGGGAAUCUUGCGCAAUGGGCGAAAGCCUGACGCAGCCAUGCCGCGUGAAUGAUGAAGGUCUUAGGAUUGUAAAAUUCUUUCACCGGGGACGAUAAUGACGGUACCCGGAGAAGAAGCCCCGGCUAACUUCGUG
rnacentral:rRNA from 1 species